rnacentral:misc_RNA from 1 species
GUCCCAGGUAAAGGGACGGAAUCCUUGCAAAACACACCUGCGCUUGCCAUGGCGCGUAUGAGACGCUUAAUUUUAUUUCUGGCAAUAACUUGCCAAAUAUGUUACGGAUAUGAAAGAGACAAAACACCAUUCCGUGACAUGGACUGCUUAGAUGGCGGUCCAAUUGGUAUUGGAGUGGAUAGCGGGUCAAGGAUUCCUGAUGGCAAUCUAUGGGCUUCGUCUUCAGCCAGCAAAAUCAGGCUUCCUACUCGGGGAAGGCUCAUGGAAACUGCAGGAUCCUGGACAUCCAAGGUUCAGAACUCUGCACAGUACCUCGGGGUAGAUUUGGGGCGCGACUACUUGCUGACACGGCUCCAGACCCAGGGCAGACAGGGAACUGAUGAAUAUGUUACAGAGUUCAUGCUGUCCUUCUCCGUCGAUCGUACAACAUGGCGGUUCUACUCCAACGAGUUUGGUAUCAGAGAAAUGUUCAUUGGAAACAGCAAUGGAGACAUGGUGAAGACCAACACUCUGAAGUACCCCGUUGUGGCCCGCUAUGUCCGUUUCCAUCCGUCACGCUGGAAUAUGGUCAUCUCCAUGAGAGUGGAAGUUCAAGGCUGUCCCUACACUUCACAGACGGUCCGGUUCGACGGAGGUACAAGCUAUAUCAGUUACGACCUAAGCACGCAGGUUCCUCCACCAAGCAGCGUCGAGGACAACAUUAAACUCCGAUUCAAAACCAACAAACAAGAUGGUGUCAUUAUGUUCGCUGACGGUAACCAAGGCGAUUACAUGUCCCUCGAACUGUCUGGAGGAACACUUCUUUUCCACAUAGAUUUAGGUUCCACUAUGAAAGUUGCUGGGGCCACCAACGAAUUGGGCGGCAACAUGCUUGAUGACAGCCAAUGGCACGACAUCAUUAUACGACGAAAUCGAACAAACAUGAUGCUGAUUGUGGACAGAAUGGAGACACGUUUUGAAACCAAAGGAGCAUUCUACCGACUCAAUGUCGACAAGAAGAUCUUCAUUGGAGGCGUCCCAAGUUUUGACCAGAAAGGUAUAACUGUGAAGACCAACUUCGCAGGUUGUCUGGAAAACGUUGUGUUCAACAGUCUCAAGAUUAUUCGUGACGCGCAGGCAGGACAAAGUGGAUAUCAAAUGGUUGGAUCAGUACCUGACCCCUGGAACUGCAAAUUUACUGCACCCAUCCCCAUGACUUUCUUCACGUUUGACUCGUAUGCUGUGCUGAGAGGAUUUGAUGCAGGUGGUGCCAUUCGUAUCAAGUUUGAUUUCCGUACCCAUGACGAAGAUGGCAUUCUCCUCCACCACGAUAUGGAGGAUGGCGGAUCAAUAAAGGUUAAGCUGGAUGAUAUUGGGUAUGUGACCUACAAACUUAUCACCAAGGACAAUCAGAUCAUCGAGGAUAUGGUUCGUAACACUGCACUUGACGCCAGAUCUGAAGGUUUUGCCGACGGGUUGUGGCACACAUUCCAGCUGCAUGCCAACCAACAGAUGUUGAACAUCACGGUCGAUCGAAAUGCCAAGGUCUCCCGGCGAAGUCUCACCGUAUCGGCUGGUUCUACGUAUUAUCUUGGUGGCUACACACUGGGAAUUAGUUUCCGUGGCUGCAUGAGAUCUAUCGACAUUGACGUCACGCCAGUGAAUAUCAAUGACAUUUCUUCAGCUGACCUGAAGGAUGUGGAGAUCGGGACAUGUGGACUUGUUGACAGGUGUACUCCCAACCCGUGUGAACACGACGGAAUCUGUACACAGGAUUGGAGCAAUUUCAACUGUGACUGCCAGGAGUCUGGCUACACCGGCGAGGUGUGUCACAUCUCAUCCUAUUACCUCUCCUGUGAGAUGUACAAGAUGUACACAAAGAAUGACGGACUCGAGCCAGCUAUAAUUGACCCUGACGGAUCAGGGCCCCUUAAGCCAUUUAAGGUGCAGUGCAACGGCAAAAAUGAGGUGGGCAAACCUGUGGAGACGUGGGUUGGCCACGACAGUGAAGAAGAUAUCCGCGUGGAUGGUUACCAGGCACCCAACUAUUACGUCCGUAAGAUUGGCUACACUGCAGCGUCCAUUGACGAACUGACCGAGGUCAUUGAUCGGGCGGUCAGCUGCCAUCAGACUAUUGACUACAAGUGUAACAACUCUCGGCUCCUGGCCAAACCAAACGAUUCUCCUGAACUGCAUUAUGCUUGGUGGGUGGGGCGGACGUUCCAGCCCAUGUACUACUGGGGAGGGGCAGCCCCAGGGUCGGACAAAUGUUACUGUGGCCUGACUGAGAAGGGCUGCACUGGAGGACUGGCCACCUGUAACUGUGACUCGGGCCUGUCCACCUCGGACAGCGGUCAGCUGGUCCACAAGGAGUACCUUCCAGUCCUGGAGCUUCAUUUUGGUGACACUGGUACAACAACGGACAACAGGCUUGGUUUUCACAAAGUUGGGCCACUCAUCUGCCAGGGAGACAAUCUCCUUGACAACGUGAUUACAUUCCGUAAGGCAGACGCUACCAUCAAGCUGGCUACCUUCGAGGCCGAACCAUCUGGAGAUAUUUGGUUCCAGUUUAAAACGACGGCCAUGGAUGGUGUUAUCAUUCACAACAUUGGAAGUUCACUAGAUGGCAACGCUGACUUCAUCCAAGUUCGACUGUUCAACGGUGACACGAUUGGGUUUAGCUACAACAAUGGAAACGGUAUCAACGUGUUGGAGUAUAAAUCCACCAACGCGCUGAACAACAACUUCUGGCACACCGUACACGUGGAGAGGAACAGGAAGCAGGCAUGGCUCCGCGUCGAUAACUACCCCGAGAAAUACCUCGACGAAGGUCAGGAUGAGGUCACACGUACCCUCGACCUCAUGGGAUUCCUUGUUGUUGGUGCUACAGUGGAAGACAAAAACGGGUUUGUUGGAUGCAUAAGGGGCCUGCGAGUAAACGGUGUGCUCCAGGACCUAAGGGGUCUUGUGGAGCGUGGUGACUUCUACUAUGGUGUGUCGGUCAACUGUAACGGAAAGUGCAACAGCAAUCCAUGCAUGAACGGAGGCACAUGUAUAGAGGGAUAUUCCGGCUACACCUGUGACUGUGCAUACACACCAUGGAGAGGGUGGAUGUGUGGCAGAGAAGUCGGCGUGAAUCUUCAGACCAAUUACCAGGUGAAGUAUACCUUUGACGAAAGCCAGGGAUUAUCAGCCACUGAUUUCAUGAACAUCCGUGUAGGCUUCACCACCAAGAAGAAGCAGGGUAUCCUUCUUCAGCUUCGCGAUGCUGAGAACACGGAAUACGUUUCCCUGGAAAUCAACAACAGUGGUGGCAUAAAAUUUGUGGUUGAUGUUGGUUCUGAACGUUGGGAGCUGAACACCCCUAAUCAUGGAAUAGACUACACCAAUGGGCAGCAGCAUGAGGCCAAGAUGAAGAGAGAGGGCGCAGGAGGCAGAGUCGUCCAUUUACAGGUCGAUAACUAUCCCGAGGCUAUUGACACUCUCGGAGCUUCUCUCAGUGACAGCAUCCUCAACAACCCGAAAUUUCUGUUUGUCGGAAGUAACGACACCAAAAACAGCGCUAAGGGAUUUGAAGGCUGCAUCUACCGUAUGCAGGUUGACAACAUUUAUCCCUUGAAGCGAGCCUUCCAGGAUCCCCGACCAUCAUUUGUAGAACUUAACCCCACAGGGAAGGUACGAGAGGAUAUGUGUGGAUUUGAGGAAGUCACACAGCCCCCAGAUCCAAUUGAGACCCGCCCCAUCGCCGGAGGUCCCUACACAAACAUCACAUUCCCCUACAGCGACGACGGCCUGACCCCCACCGAGAGGGGCGUCAUUGGAGGAGUUGUCGCUUUGAUCUUCCUCAUCAUUAUCAUCCUUGCCAUCAUCGGUUUCAUCUACUUCCGGGAGAAGGGCGAUUACAGCACAAAGGAGGCCAAAGGUCAAGAUCUUGCCGACAACCCCGACACAGCCGUGGUCUACAACCAGACAGGUGUACCAGACAUUGCUAAACGAAGGGAGUGGUUUAUAUAGAUACAUAUCAAUAGUUCAAAUAAAUGUGCUAACAUGUCAACUGUGAAAAAUCAACACUUAGGCAAAAUGUGCUACCUAGACCAAACUACUGCAUUACAUAGCAACAGUUAGGCAAAGUGGGAUAUACCACAAUAGGAGGUUAGCUAAAGUAUCAAUCCGGGUUAGGCAGAAUAAGCUACAAAAUAUGUCAGCAUUUAGACUAAUUGUUCCAGGUUUCAGAAACGUACCUUUAAGUUCAGGAAAUUCCUUAACGCUAGGUCUUGCAAAAGGAAAACUGGGGAAAUCGUAAAUUAAGGAAAUUCCCUUCAGUUAUAUGGAACAGUUGUGAAGCAGACGCCUGUGUUACAUUUCAACAGUUAGGCAAACUAUGCUUCAGGUCUACAUUUAGGCACAGUUAACUAUGCUUCAGGUCUACAUUUAGGCACAGUUAACUUUGCUUCAGGUCUACAUUUAGGCAAGAUGUUUUUGGAUCCGUUGUUAAAUGCAGGAUAAAUUGCAUCAUUACAAUGUAUAAGUUUUGUUUAGUUUCUCAAAGGUCGAAGUGAAUUUUGAAAUGAAGGUAAAAAUAAGGAAAUUUUACGGAACAAUGCUUUGUUUUUUUGUUGGCCAUUAAGUAUAGUAAAAUAUUCCAUUCAUGAUUUUGAAAAUAUUACCGAUUCCACUUUUUUUUUGUCCUGAUAGUCCAAUUGCAUGUAUAAGAAAUCUCAAACCAUACAUUCCAUAUGCCCGCAGUGUGGUAUCUUAAGACAUGAUUGCUUCUCUUGAUAAUGUUUUCCCAUGUUGAUCAACCCAGACUGGAUGAUCUAACUUUAAUUGAUAGGUCUGAUGAAAUCAUUCAAGGAUAAGAGAUGCAAUGUGCUGCCAUUUUAAAUUGUGAUAUCCAUAUUUAUCAAAGAAAACAUAUCAUGAUUGACUCCAUACUGUGUAGUCCUUAGGAAAAAGAUUUUGUAAAAUAAUUUGUAUAUUGUAAAAUAAUGAUUUUGUAUAUUUUGUACAUAUGAAACAUUUUUAUAU